rnacentral:rRNA from 1 species
UACGGAGGGGGCUAGCGUUGUUCGGAAUCACUGGGCGUAAAGCGCACGUAGGCGGAUUGUUAAGUCAGGGGUGAAAUCCUGGAGCUCAACUCCAGAACUGCCUUUGAUACUGGCGAUCUUGAGUCCGGGAGAGGUGAGUGGAACUGCGAGUGUAGAGGUGAAAUUCGUAGAUAUUCGCAAGAACACCAGUGGCGAAGGCGGCUCACUGGCCCGGUACUGACGCUGAGGUGCGAAAGCGUGGGGAGCAAACAGG